UGGAGGGUAAGGUGUACACUGCAGCGGGGUACUCCAUACUCCUCGUACUCCUUGCCUGAGUAACGGGGAGGAGUGGUAUACCCAAUAGAGUGUCCUACAAUAUGGAAGGAAAACCUUCCCAAUGCAGGAUCUUCGAGUGCACCCAUCUGUCCAUGUCUACCACGACAUAGACUGGAUCAGGCAUCAGGAGAACAAAAAUUGAAGGAACGUGUGGGAACUAGAUAAUCACUGAUCAAGAGUGAAAAUAGAUUUCAAGAAUGUUAGAUAAAUAAUCAUUACUCAAAAACUAUCCAUCCAAAAAUUCUCAAACUUUACCAGAAGGUCUUAGAUAUUUGGCUACAAGUUUGGUAUUCAGGAUCUUUGUAAAACAGCCUCUAAAAAGGUGAUAAACUCAGAUUUUCACAUUAUGGUCUAGUCUGGAAUUCC
rnacentral:lncRNA from 1 species